rnacentral:rRNA from 1 species
AUUGAACGCUGGCGGCAUGCUUUACACAUGCAAGUCGAACGGUAACAGGUCUUCGGAUGCUGACGAGUGGCGAACGGGUGAGUAAUGCGUCGGAACGUGCCCAGUCGUGGGGGAUAACGCAGCGAAAGCUGUGCUAAUACCGCAUACGAUCUAUGGAUGAAAGCGGGGGACCGUAAGGCCUCGCGCGAUUGGAGCGGCCGAUGUCAGAUUAGCUAGUUGGUGGGGUAAAGGCCCACCAAGGCGACGAUCUGUAGCUGGUCUGAGAGGACGACCAGCCACACGGGGACUGAGACACGGCCCAGACUGCUACGGGAGGCGGCAGUAGGGAAUAUUGGACAAUGGGCGCAAGCCUGAUCCAGCAAUGCCGCGUGCAGGAAGAAGGACUUCGGGUUGUAAACUGCUGUUGUACGGAACGAAACGGUCUGGGUUAAUACCCUGGGCUAAUGACGGUACCGUAAGAAUAAGCACCGGCUAACUACGUGACAGCCGCCGCCGUAACAC